rnacentral:sRNA from 1 species
AGACAGAUGUGGGUCCAUGUUCUAGCCUUGCUCCGUGUCACCUUGAGCAAGUCACUUAACUUUGUUAAGCCUCAAUUUCUCAUCUACAGAAUGAGAAUAAUAACGAUUCUAAAGGGCCACCGUAAGAGUUAGAUGAGAAAACAUAAAGUUCUUGGUGCCUAAUCCCGCUCAGUAACGAUCAUUGUUGGUAUAGUGCUGUGCUCAAAGGUCACUGAGCGGUAGUGAUUAUGUAGCAUUCUGCAUAUAGGUGGUGUUCAGGCAUUGCUGUGACAGUUCCUCUCUCCUUCCUGCCUGACAGGUAUUCGCCAACUACAGCUCAUCCUAUUCAAGGUGGCCCUGAUGCUGGGAGUUGAAAUCCAUGUGAAUGUGGAGUUCGUGAAGGUUCUAGAGCCUCCUGAAGAUCAAGAAAACCAAAAAAUUGGCUGGCGGGCAGAGUUUCUCCCUACAGACCAUUCUCUGUCGGAGUUUGAGUUUGACGUCAUCAUUGGUGCCGAUGGCCGCAGGAACACCCUGGAAGGGUUCAGAAGAAAAGAAUUCCGUGGGAAGCUGGCGAUUGCCAUCACCGCCAACUUCAUAAACAGAAACAGCACAGCGGAAGCCAAGGUGGAAGAGAUUAGUGGCGUGGCUUUCAUCUUCAAUCAGAAAUUUUUUCAGGACCUUAAAGAAGAAACAGGCAUAGAUCUUGAGAACAUUGUUUACUACAAGGACUGCACCCACUAUUUUGUCAUGACAGCCAAGAAGCAGAGCCUGCUCGACAAAGGUGUCAUCAUUAACGACUACAUCGACACAGAGAUGCUGCUGUGUGCGGAGAACGUGAACCAAGACAACCUGCUAUCCUAUGCCCGGGAAGCUGCAGACUUUGCCACCAACUACCAGCUGCCAUCCUUAGACUUUGCCAUGAACCACUAUGGGCAGCCUGAUGUGGCCAUGUUUGACUUUACCUGCAUGUAUGCCUCAGAGAAUGCGGCCCUGGUGCGGGAGCGGCAGGCGCACCAGCUGCUCGUGGCCCUCGUGGGUGACAGCUUGCUUGAGCCAUUUUGGCCCAUGGGUACAGGCUGUGCCCGUGGCUUCCUGGCAGCCUUUGACACGGCAUGGAUGGUGAAGAGCUGGAACCAGGGCACCCCUCCCCUGGAGCUGCUGGCUGAAAGGGAAAGUCUCUACCGGCUGUUACCUCAGACAACCCCGGAGAACAUCAACAAGAACUUUGAGCAGUACACGUUGGACCCAGGGACACGGUACCCAAACCUCAACUCACACUGUGUCAGGCCCCAUCAGGUGAAGCAUUUGUAUAUCACUAAGGAGCUGGAGCACUACCCUCUCGAGAGACUGGGCUCAGUGAGGAGAUCUGUCAACCUCUCCAGGAAGGAGUCAGAUAUCCGGCCCAGCAAGCUCCUAACCUGGUGCCAGCAGCAGACAGAGGGCUACCAGCAUGUCAACGUCACCGACCUGACCACAUCCUGGCGCAGUGGGUUGGCCCUGUGUGCCAUCAUCCACCGCUUCCGGCCUGAGCUCAUCAACUUUGACUCUUUGAAUGAAGAUGAUGCUGUGGAGAACAACCAGCUCGCAUUUGAUGUGGCUGAGCGAGAGUUUGGGAUCCCUCCAGUGACCACGGGCAAAGAGAUGGCGUCUGCCCAGGAGCCUGACAAGCUCAGCAUGGUCAUGUACCUCUCCAAGUUCUACGAGCUCUUCCGGGGCACCCCACUGAGGCCCGUAGAUUCUUGGCGCAAAAACUAUGGAGAAAAUGCUGACCUCAGCUUGGCCAAAUCAUCCAUUUCUAAUAACUAUCUCAACCUUACAUUUCCAAGGAAGAGGACUCCACGAGUGGAUGGUCAAACCGGAGAGAAUGACAUGAACAAACGGAGGCGGAAGGGCUUCAAUAACCUGGACGAGCCUUCAAACUUUUCCAGCCUUAGCUUGGGCUCCAAUCAAGAGUGUGGGAGCAGUAAGGAAGGCGGAAAUCAGAAUAAAGUCAAGUCCAUGGCGAAUCAGCUGCUGGCCAAGUUUGAGGAGAGCACUCGGAACCCCUCACUCAUGAAGCAGGAAUCUAUGCGAAAGUCAUUUCCCCUUAACCUGGGAGGCAGCGACAUGUGUUACUUCUGUAAGAAGCGUGUGUAUGUGAUGGAACGGCUGAGCGCUGAGGGCCACUUCUUCCACCGGGAGUGUUUCCGCUGCAGCGUCUGUGCCACCACCUUGCGCCUGGCCGCCUACACCUUUGACUGCGAUGAAGGCAAAUUUUACUGCAAGCCUCACUUCAUUCACUGUAAAACCAAUAGCAAACAACGGAAGAGACGGGCAGAGUUGAAGCAACAAAGAGAGGAGGAGGCGACAUGGCAAGAGCAGGAAGCCCCUCGGAGAGACACUCCCACUGAAAGUUCUUGCGCAGUGGCCGCCAUUGGCACCCCGGAAGGCAGCCCCCCAGGUAUCUCCACCUCCUUCUUUAGGAAGGUGCUGGGCUGGCCCCUCAGGCUGCCGAGGGACCUGUGUAACUGGAUGCAGGGACUCCUGCAAGCCGCUGGCCUCCAUAUCAGGGACAAUGCUUACAACUACUGUUACAUGUACGAGCUCCUGAGCCUGGGGCUGCCACUCCUCUGGGCGUUCUCUGAGGUCCUGGCAGCCAUGUACAGGGAAUCUGAGGGCUCCCUCGAGAGCAUCUGCAACUGGGUGCUCAGGUGCUUCCCAGUCAAGCUCCGCUGACACGGCUGGCCGCCCCAAAGUGCCUUCACAUUACCGGGGAGGCUUCAGAUGGCAGUGCGUUUGCAGUUUGCUCAGGCUUUGGCCAGGAAGCCUAGCAUUCUUUAAGCAAUUAGCUCAAAGCCAAAGAGUUUCACAUGGGCCACCUCUGCCUGGCCUUAUCAGGGUGAACAUCUACUCAUGGUGCUAGGGCCAGGGACGAUAUGAAGGAUCUUUUCUAUAGCUUUGUACUUUUAUAUAUAUAUAUACACCAAAGUGAGCCAUACUUCUGGGUUUACAUUUCAAUUUUUUUAAUUUUAAUAAGCCUAGAGAAAGCAUUUUUUUCUAUGAGUGUCAAUUUUUCUAAACAUGGGUUUGAAACUUAUAACCAGUUUUAUAAACCCCUUGAACAUUGCAGUGAGUUAUCAGAGCCACUGCCAGCAAAGUGGAUGAUUUAAGACUUUACACACAUGCAAGUGAGUGUGCCAUCUCCUGACCAGUGCCUUUUGACUAGGUACCCAGAUGCCACUUGUCAGCAGCAGGAUACUUUUUACAACAUGAAAGCAUAAUUAUUUUAGAAGAAGAGAGUAGAAGGGCAGAAUAGAAUUCAACUUACAAAAGCACGGAGUAGUGUGCGGUUGGCUGUUAUCUGUCCCCCUGGGGGGAGGACUGUUUUGCUCCCUUGUUUUGAUGUUAAAUAGUAGCUUAAAGCCUUUCUCCCCCAUACCAACUCACAGCCAAAUGACAAAGAACCGUGGGGUUUCAACAGAUUCUACAAACAUGCAUUUUCUCUUCCCACUAAUGGGCGCUGCAGUGAAAGCCCAGUGGCAUUUGACCAUGGAGCUGAUGCAGUGCUGAAGAUGAGCUCUUUCAGCUGAUGGCAUUUUAGCCCCUGUGGCUCCCAGCAGAUCCCCCAGCCCAGGCUGCAGGCUGAGCCAAGGCUGUGCAGGGUCCAUAUUGGUCAGGCCGAGUGGAGUGGAAGACUCUGUCCACUCACGUGGUGUCCUUUGAGACUGAUGGGGUUUGUUAGCACGUCAGGCUAUUGCUGGGAAGUGUGGCCUGCCCAGUGAGCAUUGCCUGUGGACAUCCUGACUGCUUAGCUGCUCUGCUGCCGUGCAUAUGUGGUUAAAACAGAAACCAUUUUCACACUGCCCUGGGAAAGGAAUGGGUCUGACCUCUAGGGGAAGCUCUACCAUAUCUUGACUGGCAGGGAAGGCUGGGAGUGGAAGCUAUUUAUGGACUGAUCCAAAGGAAAUAUGCAUUAGUGAAGGUAAAAAUGAGCAUGCAGGUCCACCUACAUUCUUCACUCUGGGUAUCUAGAAGAGUCCUCAGCUCUCCCUACUCCACACUGCCUAGACAUACACAGCUGCAGGGUCUGGCUGAACAAUCAAGGGGCUGCCAGAGAAGGGCCAUCUAUGGUGCUCAGUGUAUCUGGAGUUGCUGGGCCCAAGAUAGCUCUGUGCAGUUAUCACUAGAGAUGCCUCUGGAUUAACUAAGAGGUGUGCCUGGGUGUGGGUGAGGAGCCAGAACCUUUGAGAGCUUUGAGAUGACAGUUUCUAUGGGGCGGGAAGAAAGGAGGAGGUACAUUUCUACAAACACUUCCCUGAAAUCCUCGGGAAAAACAGAGGCAUGGCCGUGGCCAACUCUGUGGGAACCGGCGCCUCUGUCCUUGUUGGCACUGUUCUCAGUCCGAUGACUUGCAUUGUGUUUUCUCCAAUUUUUGCUGGGAUUUUAAUGUUCAGCGUGGUGGGAGGAACCCUUGAUUCCUUUUGUUUGAGUAUAGAAAGUAAAUUCUCGAGGUCAUGAUGUGAACGGCCAUGUUAUUGUGAUUAUCUUCAGCUCAGGAUAGGCUGAGAUGCUUUGUGGAGUGUUCCAUGAAGCCAGAGUCGGAAUCUGACUGUCAUGUACAGCCAUAAGGAGACUGGUUUGAAUUACUGUGGUGAGACAGGGUGUGCCUGUCGGAAAUCUGAGAUGUUUGUAUGCUCUGAGAUAUUGAACCUUUCUGGUGGGCAGCACCAACACCCAGGGGUGGACCCCAGAGGAUGAAUGCCUCUAGGCCUCCGCAACACAUUCAAGAAUGAAUAGGAGACGCUAGAGUAAAAUGGGGGCAGAGACGAUAUCAGGGAGCAAGAUGCAAACUGUGUGCAUCCACUCUUGUAAACAAGUAGCUGGUCACAACCAGAAAGGUUCAUCUCUCCUAGCAAAUGACGACUCUUUCAGAGGAAGUUUCCCUAUUUCAAUAGUUGCCUUAUUUUCAACUCCGGUGCCUUCUCGUGAUGUUAAUCAUUUCCUUUUUUCCCCCACACUAAGUUCUCUUUUCUAUCUUUCUCUCUAUUUCCAAUCUUACACCAUGGCCAUCAGUUCAUUUCAGCCUUCCAGUGCUACACCCACUUCUUGGCUGACACACUUCUGCUCUAAGGUGACUGGUUUUCUUGCCAAUUUUCAAAGAGUGGUACUAACCCCCAACCUGCUUUCCGCACCCCGUCCUCUCCGCCAGCGGUACUGGUUGCGCUAACUGUGAGUGUCUUGCGUACUGAUGGACUCAUUUGGUGGCAUGGUUGGCUAACAGCAUGGGGUGGGUGUUCAGCUUGAGACCCAUGUCUGUGUUCAUUUCCCGUGGAGCUGGCAGCCUGGUCUACCCCAAGUGCAUGCCCCGUGUCUCCUCUCUCCCUUGGGUCUGCCUGCUUGCAUGCUUCUCCAGUUGCACCUUCGAAGCCACCUACUUUCUUGGGAGGGUCGACCUUGAUCAUGAGGCAGUACCAUGAGGGGGCCUCUGUCACCUUUGAAAAGAACACUUUUUGAGCAGCCUCAAAAAGCUCAUACAUACCAGCGACUUCUUAAAUUGGCUCUAAUGUAAAGAUUGUUAAUGUCAUUUAUCAAAACCAUAGGUGAUUAUUUGGAGGGAUUUAAAAAACAUAAUUACUCUCAGGCCUCAUCCCAAGCUUGACACAUGCUCUGUAGGUUGAACACAUAAUCACAAAUAUUCUAGCAAAUCCUGCAUUGGUUGCAGCCUGCACUGUAGACCCAAGGGUUUUGCUGUGGCUCUUCUUAUAUCCCUUGGCUCAUAAAGCCCCAGAUGAUGCCAGAGCUUCGGUUAGAGCCAUCAUCAUCCCAGGCAGGGGUAUCUUUGAGAAAUGACUCAGUUCAGCCCCAGGCCCCUGUGACUCUUCUUAAGGCACACAUUUCUGCUGACUCUCGUACCUGGGGCAGCAGGAUAAUCACCAACAUGCUCUUAAUGAGAAACAACACACCAAGCACAGUGGAGCUGUCCUAGGCAACCCUCGCGGUCUCAGGCUGCAGUGGGUGUCCGUCCUGCAUGCGGCCCAGACCACCCUGACCCCUGGGCCUGCCUGCCUGGCCCUGCAUGCUGCACGCUCACUGCGUUUGUGCAGAUCCUGGCCAGUACGAAGUUGUUGCUCUUGUCUUAUCUUCUCUUACAGAGUCUCCCUCCCUUUAUAGAAUGUCAACCAAAGAGUGCCCUCCUCCCCUCUCAGCCUCCUCUUUAGCUAGCCUCCCCAUCUCAUCACAAAGCAUGUCUGUGACCUUUGGUAAUCAUUUACAGUGCCACAUGGAACCCUGUAUUUUGCACACAGCAAAACAAACAAUGUUUAGCUUUAUUUAUGGUAUUUGAUGCUGUAAAUGGAAAUAAAUAUUGUUCUUUAUAAA